UACGUAGGGGGCUAGCGUUGUCCGGAAUCAUUGGGCGUAAAGCGCGUGUAGGCGGUCCGGUAAGUCCGCUGUGAAAGUCGGGGGGCUCAACCCUCGGAUGCCGGUGGAUACUGUCGGGCUUGAGGUACGGAAGAGGCGAGUGGGAAAUUCCUGGGUGUAGCGGUGAAAUGCGCAGAUAUCAAGGAGGAACACCCAAUUGCGAAGGCAGCUCGCUGGGACGUUACUGACGCUGAGACGCGAAAGCGUGGGGAGCAAACAGG
rnacentral:rRNA from 1 species